ACAUACGACCACAGUGUGUGGAGAACAGGGCUUCCCGUCCGCUCAGCCGUACUUAAGCCACACGCCGGUGAGUUAGUGGUUGGGUGGGUGACCACCAGCGAAUCCUCACUGUUGUAUGUUU
rnacentral:rRNA from 1 species